rnacentral:misc_RNA from 1 species
UUUCCGUAGGUGAACCUGCGGAAGGAUCAUUACUGAGUGAGGGCCCUCUGGGUCCAACCUCCCACCCGUGUUUAUUAUACCUUGUUGCUUCGGUGAGCCCGCCUCACGGCCGCCGGGGGGCAUCUGCCCCCGGGCCCGCGCGCACCGAAGACACCUAGAACUCUGUAUGAAGAUUGCAGUCUGAGCAAAAACUAAAUAAGUUAAAACUUUCAACAACGGAUCUCUUGGUUCCG